UCCGGCUUGACGCCGGCAGUCUCGUUAGAGUCCUCGGCAUGACCCGUUAGUAACUAACGACAGGGGUUUCGCUCGUUAAGGGACUUAACCCGACACUUCACAGCACGAGCUGACGACAGCCAUGCAACACCUGUGCUUGUUUCACCCUUGCGGGCAGGGACUCUGAGUUAUCCCCAAAGCCCAUCCAGGCAUGUCAAACCCGGGUAAGGUUCUUCGCGUUGCUUCGAAUUAAGCCACAUGCUCCACCGCUUGUGUGAGCCCCCGUCAAUUCCUUUGAGUUUUAGCCUUGCGGCCGUACUCCCCAGGCGGCACACUUAGCACUUUUGCUGCGGCGGCGAAAGCGUCAGAGCUCCCGUCACCUAGUGUGCAUCGUUUACGGCGUGGACUAC
rnacentral:misc_RNA from 1 species